CGCAAUAUGACCGCGAUUCCCACAUCCGUAGCAGGGAUAUUACCGCCUUUUCAGCUCGGAUGAUAUAGUCUGUUACAGAUUCUUCUGGCUCUUUUCGUAAUGAGCAUCCGCACCCAAAGCCCCCAGUGAGCAAGCCAAAGGCGACAGUGGCAAGGAAAAACUCCCAAGAAGGAAGAAACCUUGGGAGGGACCAGACUCAAAGGGGAAGCCCAUCCUCCAGGGGCCGGCAGGGAUAGUCAAAUAAGAGUC